ACGAACGCUGGCGGCGUGCUUAACACAUGCAAGUCGAACGGAAAGGCCCUGCUUUUGUGGGGUGCUCGAGUGGCGAACGGGUGAGUAACACGUGAGUAACCUGCCCUUGACUUUGGGAUAACUUCAGGAAACUGGGGCUAAUACCGGAUAGUAGCUCCUGCUGCAUGGUGGGGGUUGGAAAUUUUCGGCGGUUGGGGAUGGACUCGCGGCUUAUCAGCUUGUUGGUGGGGUAGUGGCUUACCAAGGCUUUGACGGGUAGCCGGCCUGAGAGGGUGACCGGCCACAUUGGGACUGAGAUACGGCCCAGACUCCUACGGGAGGCAGCAGUGGGGAAUAUUGCACAAUGGGCGGAAGCCUGAUGCAGCAACGCCGCGUGCGGGAUGACGGCCUUCGGGUUGUAAACCGCUUUCGCCUGUGACGAAGCGUGAGUGACGGUAAUGGGUAAAGAAGCACCGGCUAACUACGUG
rnacentral:rRNA from 1 species